UGGGGAAUAUUGGACAAUGGGCGCAAGCCUGAUCCAGCCACGCCGCGUGAGUGAUGAAGGCCUUCGGGUCGUAAAGCUCUGUGGGGAGAGACGAACCGCCGGUGGCUAAUACCCAUCGGCAUGACGGUACCUCCUUAGCAAGCACCGGCUAACUUCGUGCCAGCAGCCGCGGUAAUACGAAGGGUGCAAACGUUGCUCGGAAUCAUUGGGCGUAAAGCGCACGUAGGCGGCUUCGCAAGUCGGAUGUGAAAUCCCGUGGCUCAACCAUGGACGUGCAUUCGAAACUGCGAAGCUUGAGUAUGGAAGAGGGUCGCGGAAUUCCCGGUGUAGAGGUGAAAUUCGUAGAUAUCGGGAGGAACACCAGUGGCGAAGGCGGCGACCUGGGCCAAUACUGACGCUGAGGUGCGAAAGCGUGGGGAGCAAACAGG
rnacentral:rRNA from 1 species